rnacentral:rRNA from 1 species
GAUUGUGAGUGGAUAUCUGUAGUAAUUCUAGAGCUAAUACAUGCACGCAAGCACCGAUCUUCGUGAGAAGUGCGCUUUUAUUAGAACAAGACCGGCGGCGCGGAGUGACUACCGUUAGCCCCGUCGUGUUGACUCUGGAUAACUCAGCCGAUCGCACGGCCCUGGCAGCCGGCGACGCUUCUUUCAAAUGUCUGACCCAUCAGCUAGUUGGCCGGGUAGGGGCCGGCAAAGGAGGUGACGGGUAACAGAGAAUCAGGGUUCGAUUCUGGAGAGGGAGCCUGAGAAACGGCUGCCACGUCCAAGGAAGGCAGCAGGCGCGCAAAUUACCCACUCCCGGCUUGGGGAGGUAGUGACGAAAAAUAACGAUAGACGACUCCAUUGAGGCUGUCUAAUCGGAAUGAGUACAGUCUAAAGCCUUGACACGAGGAGCUAGUAGAGGGCAAGUCUGGUGCCAGCAGCCGCGGUAACUCCAGCUCUACAGGCGUAAACGUGAGUUGUUGUAGUUAAAACGCUCGUCGUUGGAUCUGAACCUAGGCCGCGGCCGGUACGGGGUCAGAGUUACUCCCGCUAUCGCUGCGGUCGGUCCCGUGCGAGUUGCACCACAUGCGGAUCCCCUUGGCUGGGCGUCCGCGAGCUCGUAUACGUUACCUUGAACAAAUGAGGGUGUUCAUGGCAGGCUAGCACACGCCUGAAUAGUCUAGCAUGGAAUAACAGAAUUUGACUCCGGUCUUUUUCUGGCUGGUCUCUAGGACUCGGAGGGAUGAUCAAUAAGGACGACCGGAGGCGAUAGUACUCCUGCGUUAGAGGUGAAAUUCUUGGAUCGCAGGAUGACUAACCGCAGCGAAAGCAUUCGCCUAGCACGUCCUCAUUAAUCAAGAACGAAAGUUAGAGGAUCGAAGACGAUCAGAUACCGUCCUAGUUCUGACCAUAAACGAUGCCAACAGGCGAUCGGUCGUAAGUACUAAAUUGCAAACCCUUAUAUAUGACACGGCCGGCAGCCCUCGGGAAACCAAAGUCUUUGGGUUCCGGGGGUAGUAUGGUUGCAAAGCUGAAACUUAAAGGAAUUGACGGAAGGGCACCACCAGGAGUGGAGCUUGCGGCUUAAUUUGACUCAACACGGGGAACCUCACCUGGGCCGGACACUGCAAGGAUUGACAGAUUGAGAGCUCUUCUUGAUUCGGUGGG